GACGAACGCUGGCGGCGCGCCUAAUGCAUGCAAGUCGAGCGACGCAUGCCCGGUGGGUAACCACUAGGUAUGACGGAGCGGCGAACGGGUGAGUAACACGUGAGUAACCUGCCCCGAAGACCGGGAUAGCCCGGGAAACCCGGAUUAAUACCGGAUACCCUCUCUGGAUCGCAUGGUCCGGUGAGGAAAUGCCUUUGUGCUUCGGGAUGGACUCGCGGCCUAUCAGCUUGUUGGUGAGGUAACGGCUCACCAAGGCUACGACGGGUAGCUGGUCUGAGAGGACGAUCAGCCACACUGGGACUGAGACACGGCCCAGACUCCUACGGGAGGCAGCAGCAGGGAAUCUUGUCCAAUGGGCGCAAGCCUGAGACAGCGACGCCGCGUGAGGGAUGAAGGCCUUCGGGUUGUAAACCUCUUUCAGGAGGGACGAAAUUGACGGUACCUCCAGAAGAAGCCCCGGCCAACUACGUG
rnacentral:rRNA from 1 species